rnacentral:tRNA from 1 species
UUAAUUGAAACCAAAAAGAGGUAAAUCACUGUUAAUGAUUAAAUUGGAAAAUUUCCCCAAUUAAA